rfam:Pseudomonas caspiana strain FBF102 scaffold00004, whole genome shotgun sequence.
GGGUGAUUAGCUCAGCUGGGAGAGCAGCUGCCUUACAAGCAGCGGGUCGGCGGUUCGAUCCCGUCAUCACCCA